GCCAGGCAUGGUAGUGCAUGCCUGUGGUCCCAGCUACUUAGGAGGCUGAGGUAGGAGGAUCACUUGAGCCUGGGAAGUUGAGGCUGCAGUGAGCUAUGAUCGUGCCACUGCACUUCAGCCCAGGUGACAGAGAGAGACCCUGUCUCAA
rnacentral:SRP_RNA from 1 species